rnacentral:lncRNA from 1 species
GAAGCUCGGCUGAAGUCUGCCUAUAAUAGAAGUUCGGAAGAAAUUCAUUUAUAGUAGAGGCUCAGAUGGAAUUCGCUUACAGCAAAGAUCCGGAGUAGACCAUUUGUAGUAGAAGUUUGGAGUAUACCACUUACAGUAGAAAUUCAGAGUAGAGAUCCGACUGGUGGAGCCCUUCCGUUGUCGAAAUUCGUUUGGGAUCCCUCCACUAUGGGAGUUCGACUGAAAUUCGAUUCUCAUAGGAGCUCGGAUGGAAUCCAGAAGGUGGUCGACCGUCGUAG